GGCGGACGGGUGAGUAACGCGUGGGCAACCUGGCCUGUACAGGGGGAUAACACUUAGAAAUAGGUGCUAAUACCGCAUAACGGGGGAAGCCGCAUGGCUUUUCCCUGAAAACUCCGGUGGUACAGGAUGGGCCCGCGUCUGAUUAGCCAGUUGGCAGGGUAACGGCCUACCAAAGCGACGAUCAGUAGCCGGCCUGAGAGGGCGGACGGCCACACUGGGACUGAGACACGGCCCAGACUCCUACGGGAGGCAGCAGUGGGGGAUAUUGCACAAUGGGGGGAACCCUGAUGCAGCGACGCCGCGUGGGUGAAGAAGCGCCUCGGCGCGUAAAGCCCUGUCAGCAGGGAAGAAAAUGACGGUACCUGAAGAAGAAGCCCCGGCUAACUACGUGCCAGCAGCCGCGGUAAUACGUAGGGGGCAAGCGUUAUCCGGAUUUACUGGGUGUAAAGGGGGCGCAGACGGCGAUGCAAGCCAGGAGUGAAAGCCCGGGGCCCAACCCCGGGACUGCUCUUGGAACUGCGUG
rnacentral:rRNA from 1 species